CGAGCCUCUGGAGAGACUGUCUUAAAUGACAGCACCGAAGGAGCAAAGGAAUUUCUAAUUCCCUAAACUCUCAGGUAAAAGAACAGAGAAU
rnacentral:ncRNA from 1 species